rnacentral:rRNA from 1 species
AAACGACUGCUAAUACCGCAUAAUGUCUACGGACCAAAGGGGGCUUCGGCUCUCGCCUUUAGAUUGGCCCNAGUGGGAUUAGCUAGUUGGUGAGGUAAUGGCUCACCAAGGCGACGAUCCCUAGCUGGUUUGAGAGGAUGAUCAGCCACACUGGGACUGAGACACGGCCCAGACUCCUACGGGAGGCAGCAGUGGGGAAUAUUGCACAAUGGGCGCAAGCCUGAUGCAGCCAUGCCGCGUGUGUGAAGAAGGCCUUCGGGUUGUAAAGCACUUUCAGUCAGGAGGAAAGGUUAANGGUUAAUACCCGUUAGCUGUGACGUUACUGACAGAAGAAGCACCGGCUAACUCCGUGCCAGCAGCCGCGGUAAUACGGAGGGUGCGAGCGUUAAUCGGAAUUACUGGGCGUAAAGCGUACGCAGGNGGUUUGUUAAGCGAGAUGUGAAAGCCCCGGGNUCAACCUGGGAACUGNAUUUCGAACUGGNAAACUAGAGUGUGAUAGAGGGUGGUAGAAUUUCAGGUGUAGCGGUGAAAUGCGUAGAGAUCUGAAGGAAUACCGAUGGCGAAGGNAGCCACCUGGGU